rnacentral:tRNA from 1 species
UGGGAAUGGCCUAACUUAUAGCUGACAUGAGGUGUCGGGGGUCGGAGGUUCAAAUCCUCUCGUGCCGACCA